UGCCAGCAUCCGCGGUACUACUGAUGGAGCGAGCGUUAAUCGGAAUUACUGGGCGUAAAGCGCGCGUAGGCGGCUUUGUAAGUCGGAUGUGAAAGCCCUGGGCUUAACCAUGGAAGUGCAGUCGAUACUGGCGAGCUAGAGUCCCGGAGAGGAUGGUGGAAUUCCCAGUGUAGAGGUGAAAUUCGUAGAUAUUGGGAGGAACACCGGUGGCGAAGGCGGCCAUCUGGAUGGGUACUGACGCUGAGACGCGAAAGCGUGGGGAGCAAACAGGAUUAGAUA
rnacentral:rRNA from 1 species